UACGUAGGGUGCAAGCGUUGUCCGGAAUUAUUGGGCGUAAAGAGCUCGUAGGCGGUCUGUCGCGUCGGAUGUGAAAACCCAGGGCUCAACCCUGGGCCUGCAUUCGAUACGGGCAGACUAGAGUUAUGCAGGGGAGAACGGAAUUCCUGGUGUAGCGGUGAAAUGCGCAGAUAUCAGGAGGAACACCGGUGGCGAAGGCGGUUCUCUGGGCAUUACCUGACGCUGAGGAGCGAAAGUGUGGGGAGCGAACAGG
rnacentral:rRNA from 1 species